CAGCAGCAGCCGCGGUAAUACAGAGGGUGCGAGCGUUAAUCGGAUUUACUGGGCGUAAAGCGUGCGUAGGCGGCUUCUUAAGUCGGAUGUGAAAUCCCUGAGCUUAACUUAGGAAUUGCAUUCGAUACUGGUAAGCUAGAGUAUGGGAGAGGAUGGUAGAAUUCCAGGUGUAGCGGUGAAAUGCGUAGAGAUCUGGAGGAAUACCGAUGGCGAAGGCAGCCAUCUGGCCUAAUACUGACGCUGAGGUACGAAAGCAUGGGGAGCAAACAGGAUUAGAUACCCCUGUAGUCCCUGUCUCUUAUAC
rnacentral:rRNA from 1 species